rnacentral:rRNA from 1 species
UCAGACGUGAAUACCCGCUGAACUUAAAGCAUAU